rnacentral:rRNA from 1 species
CCUACGGGAGGCAGCAGUGGGGAAUAUUGCACAAUGGGGGAAACCCUGAUGCAGCGACGCAGCGUGAGUGAAGAAGUAAUUCGUUAUGUAAAGCUCUAUCAGCAGGGAAGAAAAUGACGGUACCUGAGUAAGAAGCCCCGGCUAACUACGUGCCAGCAGCCGCGGUAAUACGUAGGGGGCAAGCGUUAUCCGGAUUUACUGGGUGUAAAGGGAGCGUAGACGGCAGUGCAAGUCUGGAGUGAAAGGCGGGGGCUCAACCCCCGGACUGCUCUGGAAACUGUACGGCUGGAGUGCAGGAGAGGUAAGUGGAAUUCCUAGUGUAGCGGUGAAAUGCGUAGAUAUUAGGAGGAACACCAGUGGCGAAGGCGGCUUACUGGACUGUAACUGACGUUGAUGCUCGAAAGCGUGGGUAGCAAACAGGAUUAGAUACCCCGGUAGUC